CCUACGGGAGGCAGCAGUGAGGAAUAUUGGUCAAUGGUCGGGAGACUGAACCAGCCAAGCCGCGUGAGGGAUGAAGGUACAGAGUAUCGUAAACCUCUUUUGUCAGGGAACAAAGGCGGGGACGUGUCCCCGGAUGAGUGUACCUGAAGAAAAAGCAUCGGCUAACUCCGUGCCAGCAGCCGCGGUAAUACGGAGGAUGCGAGCGUUAUCCGGGUUUAUUGGGUUUAAAGGGUGCGCAGGCGGUCUGUUAAGUCAGCGGGCAAAGCCCGGGGCUCAACCCCGGCCCGCCGUUGAACCGGGCAGUCUCGAGUUGGAGAGAAGUAUGCGGAAUGCGCGGUGUAGCGGUGAAAUGCAUAGAUAUCGCGCAGAACUCCGAUUGCGAAGGCAGCAUGCCGGCUCCACACUGACGCUGAGGCACGAAAGCGUGGGUAUCGAACAGGAUUAGAUACCCUGGUAGUC
rnacentral:rRNA from 1 species